rnacentral:rRNA from 1 species
GGGUUGUGAGGUUAAGCGACUAAGCGUACACGGUGGAUGCCCUGGCAGUCAGAGGCGAUGAAGGACGUGCUAAUCUGCGAAAAGCGCCGGCGAGGUGAUAUGAACCCUUGACCCGGCGAUGUCCGAAUGGGGAAACCCAGUGUGUUCCGACACACUAUCGUUAACUGAAUACAUAGGUUAACGAGGCGAACCGGGGGAACUGAAACAUCUAAGUACCCCGAGGAAAAGAAAUCAACCGAGAUUCCCCCAGUAGCGGCGAGCGAACGGGGAGCAGCCCGGAGUCUGAAUCAGCUUGUGUGUUAGUGGAACGGUCUGGAAAGUCCGACGGUACAGGGUGAUAGUCCCGUACACGAAAAUGCACAGGUUGUGAACUCGAAGAGUAGGGCGGGACACGUGGUAUCCUGUCUGAAUAUGGGGGGACCAUCCUCCAAGGCUAAAUACUCCUGACUGACCGAUAGUGAACCAGUACCGUGAGGGAAAGGCGAAAAGAACCCCGGCGAGGGGAGUGAAAAAGAACCUGAAACCGUGUACGUACAAGCAGUGGGAGCACCUUCGGGUGUGACUGCGUACCUUUUGUAUAAUGGGUCAGCGACUUAUAUUCUGUAGCAAGGUUAACCGUAUAGGGGAGCCGAAGGGAAACCGAGUCUUAACUGGGCGUUAAGUUGCAGGGUAUAGACCCGAAACCCGGUGAUCUAGCCAUGGGCAGGUUGAAGGUUGGGUAACACUAACUGGAGGACCGAACCGACUAAUGUUGAAAAAUUAGCGGAUGACCUGUGGCUGGGGGUGAAAGGCCAAUCAAACCGGGAGAUAGCUGGUUCUCCCCGAAAGCUAUUUAGGUAGCGCCUCGUGAACUCAUCUUCGGGGGUAGAGCACUGUUUCGGCUAGGGGGCCAUCCCGGCUUACCAACCCGAUGCAAACUACGAAUACCGAAGAAUGUUAUCACGGGAGACACACGGCGGGUGCUAACGUCCGUCGUGAAGAGGGAAACAACCCAGACCGCCAGCUAAGGUCCCAAAGUCAUGGUUAAGUGGGAAACGAUGUGGGAAGGCACAGACAGCCAGGAUGUUGGCUUAGAAGCAGCCAUCAUUUAAAGAAAGCGUAAUAGCUCACUGGUCGAGUCGGCCUGCGCGGAAGAUGUAACGGGGCUAAACCAUGCACCGAAGCUGCGGCAGCGACACUAUGUGUUGUUGGGUAGGGGAGCGUUCUGUAAGCCGUUGAAGGUGUGCUGUGAGGCAUGCUGGAGGUAUCAGAAGUGCGAAUGCUGACAUAAGUAACGAUAAAGCGGGUGAAAAGCCCGCUCGCCGGAAGACCAAGGGUUCCUGUCCAACGUUAAUCGGGGCAGGGUGAGUCGACCCCUAAGGCGAGGCCGAAAGGCGUAGUCGAUGGGAAACAGGUUAAUAUUCCUGUACUUGGUGUUACUGCGAAGGGGGGACGGAGAAGGCUAUGUCAGCCGGGCGACGGUUGUCCCGGUUUAAGCAUGUAGGCGGAGGU